GCAGGUAGAAUUGGAGGUUGGCUUAUGCUUGCUGAGACAGCAGCUCAGGCACGAUGGCGGAGGGAGAGAAUCGUAGCACCAACUUGCUGGCUGCAGAGACUGCAAGUCUGGAAGAGCAGCUGCAAGGAUCGGGAGAAGUGAGGCUGAUGACGGAUAAAGUCCUCCAGUGGGAAAGAGCCUGGUUUCCACCUGCCGUCAUGGCUGUGGUUUCCUUGGUGUUUCUGAUUAUCUACUAUCUAGAGUCGUCUGUUCUGUCCGGUGUUUCCUGUUUUAUUAUGUUUUUGUGCUUGGCUGAUUACCUUGUUCCCAUUCUAGCGCCUAGAAUUUUUGGCUCCAAUAAAUGGAAUACUAAACAGCAGGAAAGAUUCCAUGAGAUUUGCAGCAAUCUAGUAAAAACUCAAUGCAGAGCUGUGGGCUGGUGGAAACGCCUCUUCACGCUAAAGGAAGAAAUGCCUAAAAUGUACUUCAUGACCAUGAUCAUUGCUCUUGCUGCUGUUGCUUGGGUGGGACGACAAGUAUGUAACCCGUUUCUGAUACUCACUACCUGACAGUAACUUUCUUACUGUUGCUUCCUGGACUUAACCAGCAUGGAAUCAUCUCCAAGUACAUUGGAAUGGCCAAAAUGGAGAUAAACAAACUUCUCAAACAAAAAGAAAAGAGAAACGAAUAG